CACGUAGGGCGCAAGCGUUGUCCAGAAUUACUGGGCGUAAAGCGCAUGUAGGCGGCAGCGCAAGUCGGGCGUGAAAUCCCACGGCUCAACCGUGGAAGUGCACUCGAAACUGCGCAGCUAGAGUCCUGGAGAGGAAGGUGGAAUGCUUGGUGUAGAGGUGAAAUUCGUAGAUAUCAAGCGGAACACCGGUGGCGAAGGCGGCCUUCUGGACAGUGACUGACGCUGAGAUGCGAAAGCGUGGGAGCAAACAGG
rnacentral:rRNA from 1 species